AUCCAGCUGACGAGUCCCAAAAUAGGACAAAACGCGCGUCCUGGAU
rfam:Schistosoma mattheei strain Denwood, Zambia genome assembly, scaffold: SMTD_scaffold0008487